AAUUGUAGGGAAUUUCGCUGACGGAAACGACCCUUGACCUCACUGAGCGACAUCCGCCGGCUAGGUCGGCCGGGCUCGCAUUUUGCUUAACCACCAUCCCACCCUUGCUGCCUUGAAUUUAUCCUUUCAAAGAAUGUUACCGUAGCACUACAUGUAUAUGUACACUCACUGUAUUGCUCAUUGUUAUAGCCAAGAUCCUGGUCUUAGACCCUACAUUGUUGUAAUCGGCAAGACCUUGGUCUUAGGCCGUUGAUGUCUUUGCACAACCUGUAAGCCUCUCAUCGAGCAGAAUAAAGACAUCAUAA